rnacentral:sRNA from 1 species
UCUCUCAAGCUGCGUGCUCAGUUGAAAAGGACGACCUUCCCCGAUAGAGGAAGACCGAACUUCGGUUAAGAGUAUAUGAGUAGCUGCACUCCCCUCCUAGAACCUCCAAACAAGCUCUCAAGGUCCAAAAAUACUUUUUAAAUUUUCUUUUAAAAAUAUGGAUUAAAUGUAAAGU